UGUAAAGUACAUGACGUGAGAGGGCGCCUUUACUGCUCUCCCUCUCACGCUCGCAUCAUAUAGGAGAACAACAUAUAUGAAACAAUUUUGCUACAGUUAGUCGGAGUGUGCAAAUGCAGGGUAAGAGUGCAGGCCACGUUAGUUAAAUUAAAAAAAAAAAUGAAGAACGACAAAAAAAGAGAGAAAGACACUCAGCUCUUCGUGUGGUGGUCGUCUUCUUCUUCGAGUCGGUAGAUGAAAAAGGCAGAUCUUUGGGUCUUCGUGGGGGUCGUCUUCGUGGGUAGAUGAAAAGGGCCAAUCUUUUUCAUGAUUUCUACGACCACUACAACAUUUAUUGGCGCGAGUGAUUUCUACGACUGGUAGGGAUCAAAGAGCUUCAUGGAUUUAGAUUGUCCGUUCGUUGCAAUAUGACUUGUUGGAUCUUUGGUGCAAAUUGAUAAGAUCUUCGUGUGGGUCGUCUUCGUGGAUAGCUUCAUCAGACAUGGUCUUGAGCUUCCAAUAUUAAUAAUCUCUGUAAGCUGCGAAGGCUUAGUACAUUCCUUUGGCAGUGAUCUUGAGCUGGAAAUCUUGCCCAUUCUCUGGGUUCUAAGCCCAGUUUCUUUGGCUUUGUGCUUCUUUCCUCGAAAGUGUUCACUCAGACCUUUCUCAAUAAACAAAGGAGAUUGUUUUCUCACAAAGUCUAUGGAACAUUGGAACUUCUGUAAUACCCAGAGCAGUAAUCGUCCAUCUAAUAAAAUUAGCUUACUAAAAUAGGUACUGAUUGACUAACAUGAUAAAGGACCUCACUGAAGUUUUCUUCAAGGAUUUUGAAAAGUGUAGAAUAUUGACUAUUUGAAUAUGAUUUCCACUACAUUUUUUUUUGGCUUGAAA